UAAGGUUUAGAGUAGGGGUUAGGGUUAGAGUUAGAGUAGGGGUUAGGGUUAGGUAGGGAUUAAGGUUAGGUAAGGGUUAAGGUUAGGUAAGGGUUAAGGUUAGGUAAGGUUUAAGGUUAGGUAAGGUUUAGGGUUAAGGUUAGGUAAGUGUUAAGGUUAGGUAAGGGUUAAGGUUAGGGUUAAGGUUAGGUAAGGGUUAAGGUUAGGCAAGGGGUAAGGGUUAAGGUAAGGGUUAAGGUUAGGUAAGUGUUAAGGUUAGGUAAGGGUUAAGGUUAGGUAAGGGUUAAGGUUAGGCAAGGGGUAAGGGUUAAGGUAAGGGUUAAGGUUAAGGUUAGAGUCAGAAGAACCUAGAAACACUGCAGCAGGCAGAACAGAGCUGUACGUUUUGCUCUUCACUGUAAUCCGAGGGUUAAGGUUAGGGUUAGGUAAUCAGAGGGUUAAGGUUAGGUAAUCAGAGGGUUAAGGUUAGGGUUAGGUAAUCAGAGGGUUACGGUUAGGGUUAGGUAAUCAGAGGGUUAAGGUUAGGGUUAGAGUUAGGUAAUCAGAGGGUUAAGGUUAGGUAAUCAGAGGGUUAAGGUUAGGGUUAGGGUUAGGUAAUCAGAGGGUUAAGGUUAGGGUUAGGUAAUCAGAGGGUUAAGGUUAGGGUUAGGUAAUCAGAGGGUUAAGGUUAGGGUUAGGUAAUCAGAGGGUUAAGGUUAUGGUUAGGUAAUCAGAGGGUUAAGGUUAGGGUUAGGUAAUCAGAAUGGCUCAUAUCAAAACUAUCCCAAGGAUACCGGAUAGCA